AUGUGUGCCCUCAAGGGAAGUUUACCUGUAUUCAGCAGCUAAGUGAGGGUGCACAGUGAAUAGUUUUCAAGUAUUAUUAAGUUUUUCGUACAUAUUCAAUAUAUCUUCAUCCAUGUUUCAAGAGUGUCUGCCAUAUCUUUUCAAAUGGAUUUAAGCUAAGAACUUACUAAAACUAUUGUUUUGGACAUUUUCGGGCACGGCAGAAAAUACUUCUAUGCAAUUCAUAGAUAUAAUUUAUGAAAAUGAUCUUGAAAACAAACUAUUUAGGUGAUCAACUAAAACGAAUCAGAUAUGCUGAUAGAGUGAUAUAAAACUAUCCCCGUGUCUCUUAACUUAUAGACUUGUUUCAAAUGAUAGAUUGCUGGAUGUAUCGCUUUGUAACCGAAGCCCGAACACAAUAUGGUGAGUACACACCUUAUGCUAUUUUCAUAAAGUGUUAGUGAUGGGGCAUAACAGAUACGAGAUAGAUAGAUAGAGAGAGAGAGAGAGAAAAAAAAAGAGAGAGAGAGAAUAUCUUAAAUAGAGCGUGUCUGUUUUCUUGUUUCUGUUGUCGCCCUAGCCACCCUUUUUGUGUUUUUUGUUUUAAUAUUCAUUGCUCCCUACCAAAUUUGGUAACUGACAUAUCGUAUUCAGAAAGUGCGAUUCCCUUCCUUGAUUGUUACAAAUCAUUGAUAAUCAUUGGUCUAAUGAUUAGAAAUACAAAGGCACGGCUACCCAACAAUGACGCUUGGACUUGGGGUGUACAAAGUUAUUUGGUAGACGCAAAAAAUUUCUGUUUGAGGUGUGAAACAUGUAGUGAGAAAUAAAUUUAAUAUGAAUGAAGUGUUGCAAUAUUGCCAUUUCGCUGUAUGCAAAUGUAAAGGAAAACACUCGAGAAUUUACAACUUAGAACGUAAACAAGAAAAAAAUGGCGUCUAACAUAGACCAGCCUGGAUAACAAUUUACAGGAUGAAAUAAACAUGGGCACGAAUAACACCACGCAAAAUACACUUCUACAUUCUAUAAUAUAUAUAUAAAUGCAGGAAAAACAACUUACAUUUUGCAAGGACAGGGAGACGAUGACUGUAGCUAAAAAUGUACACUGGCGUGUGGCGGGAUCACAUUGUUACGUUGGAGCAAUGGGCAUAAUAAUAACUUCCAAAGAGUUCCAAGACAAGAGCAAAUAACUCUAAUAAAAAUAUGUUAAAAGAUGGAUAACUCUUACAUUCCACCACACUCCCCGCCUGCCAUCAGUAAAUACCACUACUUACAUGUUUGAAAAAAUACAAAACAAUAUAGCAAACGUAAAGUGUAGUAUGAAAAAUUGUCAAAUACACAUGUUCAUACAUACAUGUAUAUCUCUAAUAAAGGUUUGUUUGACAAAGCAGCAGUCUUUAAGUGUCGCAGAGAUAAUGUCACCGAGAUUCAACACACAGUCUCUAAAUAUCAAUGAGAUUCAACACACGGUCUCUAAAUAUCACUGACACUCAACACAUAGUCUCUAAAUAUCACUGAGAUUCAACACACGGUCUCUAAAUAUCACUGAGACUCAACACAUAGUCUCUAAAUAUCACUGAGAUUCAACACAAAGUCUCUAAAUAUCACUGAGAUUCAACACACAGUCUCUAAAUAUCACUGAGACUCAACACAAAGUCUCUAAAUAUCACUGAGACUUAACACACAGUCUCUAAAUAUCACUGAGACUUAAUACACAGUCUCUAAAUAUCACUGAGACUCAACAAACAGUCUCUAAAUAUCACUGAGAUUCAACACAUAGUCUCUAAAUAUCAUUGAGACUUAAUACACAGUCUCUAAAUAUCACUGAGACUUAACAUACGGUCUCUAAAUAUCACUGAGACUCAACACACAGUCUCUAAAUAUCACUGAGACUCAACACAAAGUCUCUAAAUAUCACUGAGACUCAACACAAAGUCUCUAAAUAUCACUGAGAUUCAACACAAAGUCUCUAAAUAUCACUGAGAUUCAACACACAGUCUCUAAAUAUCACUGAGAUUCAACACACAGUCUCUAAAUAUCACUGAGACUCAACACAAAGUAUUUAAAUAUCACCGAGACUUAACACAAAGUCUCUAAAUAUCACUGAGACUCAACACACAGUCUCUAAAUAUCACUGAGACUCGAGCAGGAGCACCAGUUCAUGUACAGGACGGAUAUAAAAAGUUGGUUUGUCUCCUCGAAUGAUUCGCACGACUACUUUCCGCACAAGGUCAUCAUCAUUGUGAAACACACGAUCAAUAACACCAAUUGGCCAACGAUUUCUAUGUUCUGCAGGAUCUCUCAACAACACAACAUCGUCCACUUUGAGGUUUCUCUGUUCACUAUUCCAUUUUCUUCUAUUCUGUAAAAUGUUCAAAUAUUGUUUACGCCAUUGCUGCCAGAAUAUAUCAGUAAGAAUUUGAACAUGUUUCCACGGAGAACAGUAAACAUCUUGUGGUCUAAGUGAGUCCGACACGACGGGUAAGAAUUCUACUUUCCAAGUGAGAAGCAUCAAUGGUGUCAGAAUCAAAGGUUCAUCUGGAUCUGGAUAUGGGAGUAAGUGGACGCUAUUUUAUGAUAGCAGAAACUUCACAUAAGAAUGUCACCAACGUUUCAUGAAUAAGAUGUUUGCUACUCGAUUAAAAAAGUAUGGAGUCAAGGAUUUUCCGAGUCAUUCCUAUCAUUCGAUCCCAUAUACCACCGAUGUGUGAGGAAUGAGGUACGUUGAAAAUCCAAAUAAUCCCAGAUUUGUUCAGAAACUGCUGUACUGGUUCCUCUUCCACCUUUACCGUAUUGACUUUCAUUUCCUCUGUUGCUCCAAUAAAAUUUGAGUCACGGUCUGAUCGUAUAAACUUCGCAGGGCCACGGACUGCCAUGAACUACGUAAAACACAUAUGAAAGAAGAACUUGUCAUUUGUUCGAGAACCUCGAUAUGUACUGCUCUGACUAAUAGACAGGUGAACAAUAAGCCCCAUCUUUUACCGUUUGCUGUCCCUCCACGAGUUUUACGUGUGGAAACAUCCCAGGGUACAAAAACAUCAAUCCCCACGGAUGUAAGCAAGGGUCUAGGAGUAACUCUGUCAAUGGGAACAUCCGCCAUCUUCAGUGAUUCGAGACUGUGUCGAAGUUUGCGACAAGUGACACACUUGUGUAUCUUAGGCCUGUCCACAAACGUGUUAUCUCUACUUGUAUUCUAACAUUUAGUGUGAAUAUGACAAUUUCCGGAUAGUAAGACAAUCAGACUGCACAAUAUUUGAAGUGUUAUGUUGAGUAUGGAAUGGAUGCAUGCUGUUAAAAAUCGAAAACAGUUGAAAUCAUUUCUACGAGAGGCCACUUUGAGAUGUUUGAUUAUGUAGGCACGUAUAGGCACAUACGUGUAUCGUGCCAUAACAGAAUUUGCACUGAGAGAUUCAGGGGGACACCCCCCUCCUUUCGCCACAAAUAUACAAAAUGAUGUGAAUAUUUUACCCAAAAUGGCUGUAUUUACAGAUAGUAUACCAGUAGCUUUGUUACUCCGCCCUCCUACUCAAAGAAGUCCUUUGUUAUCCAGAAAAGGUGAAAGUGUUGCUAUUUUACUAUCCAUAUGUGGCAAAGUAAUUUCUUAUCUAAUAUGCAUAUAAUGCAUUCACAUAUGCAUGUAUGAAUUGUUAUUCUUUUAUUUUAUUUCAACUUAACAUCAAUAUUAUGUGUAUUGAAUUAUAUAAUCCUUUAAUGGAUCUGCAAUUCAAUAUCCGGUCAAGCAUACCACUUUAGUGGGUUCUUUGGUAUAGAGUGCCUGAGGUGCCUAAUCAUGUCUUGGCCAAGUUGUCCAUAAUUCUUUUAAUUUCAUUGGUGUUUUAGUUUUGUG